GGAAUUCGAUUAGAGUUUGAUCCUGGCUCAGAUUGAACGCUGGCGGCAGGCUUAACACAUGCAAGUCGAGCGGUAGCACAAGAGAGCUUGCUCUCUGGGUGACGAGCGGCGGACGGGUGAGUAAUGUCUGGGAAACUGCCUGAUGGAGGGGGAUAACUACUGGAAACGGUAGCUAAUACCGCAUAACGUCGCAAGACCAAAGAGGGGGACCUUCGGGCCUCUUGCCAUCAGAUGUGCCCAGAUGGGAUUAGCUAGUAGGUGGGGUAAUGGCUCACCUAGGCGACGAUCUUUAGGGGGCCUGAGAGGGUGAUCCCCCACACUGGUACUGAGACACGGACCAGACUCCUACGGGAGGCAGCAGUGGGGAAUAUUGCACAAUGGGCGCAAGCCUGAUGCAGCCAUGCCGCGUGUGUGAAGAAGGCCUUCGGGUUGUAAAGCACUUUCAGCGAGGAGGAAGGUGGUGGGCUUAAUACGCUCAUCGAUUGACGUUACUCGCAGAAGAAGCACCGGCUAACUCCGUGCCAGCAGCCGCGGUAAUACGGAGGGUGCAAGCGUUAAUCGGAAUUACUGGGCGUAAAGCGCACGCAGGCGGUUUGUUAAGUCAGAUGUGAAAUCCCCGGGCUCAACCUGGGAACUGCAUUUGAAACUGGCAAGCUAGAGUCUCGUAGAGGGGGGUAGAAUUCCAGGUGUAGCGGUGAAAUGCGUAGAGAUCUGGAGGAAUACCGGUGGCGAAGGCGGCCCCCUGGACGAAGACUGACGCUCAGGUGCGAAAGCGUGNGGAGCAAACAGGAUUAGAUACCCUGGUAGUCCACGCUGUAA
rnacentral:rRNA from 1 species